AAAAUGCGAUAAGUAAUGUGAAUUGCAGAAUUCAGUGAAUCAUCGAAUCUUUGAACGCACAUUGCACCCGCCAGUAUUCUGGCGGGCAUGCCUGUUCGAGCGUCAUUUCAACCCUCAAGCCCCCGGGUUUGGUGUUGGGGAUCGGGCUGCGGUUCUACCGCGUCCCGGCCCCGAAAUCUAGUGGCGGUCUCGCUGCAGCCUCCAUUGCGUAGUAGCUAACACCUCGCAACUGGAACGCGGCGCGGCCAAGCCGUUAAACCCCCAACUUCUGAAUGUUGACCUCGGAUCAGGUAGGAAUACCCGCUGAACUUAAGC
rnacentral:misc_RNA from 1 species